rnacentral:rRNA from 1 species
GACAGAGGGUGCAACGUUGUUCGGAAUUACUGGGCGUAAAGCGCGUGUAGGCUGCUCAGAAAGUCGGAUGUGAAAGCCCUGGGCUUAACCUGGGAAGUGCAUUCGAAACUUCUGGAGCUGGAGUUCUGGAGAGGAAGGCGGAAUUCUCGGUGUAGAGGUGAAAUUCGUAGAUAUCGAGAGGAACACCGGUGGCGAAGGCGGCCUUCUGGACGGUGACUGACGCUGGAGACGCGAAAGCGUGGGGAGCAAACAGG